rnacentral:rRNA from 1 species
CACGUAGGGUGCGAGCGUUGUCCGGAAUUAUUGGGCGUAAAGAGCUCGUAGGCGGUCCGUCACGUCGGAUGUGAAAUUCCAGGGCUCAACCCUGGACCUGCAUUCGAUACGGGCGGACUAGAGUUCGGUAGGGGAGACUGGAAUUCCUGGUGUAGCGGUGAAAUGCGCAGAUAUCAGGAGGAACACCGGUGGCGAAGGCGGGUCUCUGGGCCGAUAUUGACGCUGAGGAGCGAAAGCGUGGGGAGCGAACAGG